UACGUUUAACCUCCAAAAUCGAAAUUUCGUCGGUUUGAAAGGCCAGAAUACCCACAUGCCGUUUAUCUUCCGUCUUUUUGGUUGUCCGCGCAAAAAGUACCUGACUUUUAUACCCUCGCCGAAAUGACCGGUGGAGUAAAUUAAAUCGGUUUUUAACAGCAAAAAUAGUGAGAACGAAUAUCCAAAUCUAAUCUGCUCAGCUGAUGUGUUUAGGAAAUAUUACGUUUCAAAAAUACCUACAGGUAGGAAAUGCAGCUUAAAAAGUGUCAGGCAAAUAAUUCAUAAACCAAUGAAGUACCAACGGUGUACACCUAAAGAUGGCAUCCUGCCUGAUUAAAGAACUAAGAACCAGGAAGUCAUACUUGAAAGAGGGUAAAACGCCAGUACACCUAUAUUUCUCUUUACGUUCCACGCCUACGUAAAUGUUACACGUACACGUCAAGAAGAUGUUUCUUCCUUCCUAUCAGAAGUUAAGCACGACCCUGCUUCUACGCACGGCAUACGCACGUGCGUUGUGCUACACGUGUGCACGAUGCGGUAUGAUAUAUAGGUAUACCUCUGAGGACUGAUUCAAGACGGUUUACAAGCACAGAAAGCACGGUUAAUGCUCCUAUUUACUAUCUCUCUGGCCGCUUUCUAAAUGCAUCUAAUACGCAACACGUUGCUCUUGCUUGUCUGUACUUACAUUUUGGUCCAAUAAUUUUGUCGAAGUCCCUACAAUUUUUGAUUGUAACAGAGCUACACCUUCACCUUCCUCCAGCGAGGCCUCGAUGGACUUGCAAACUCCUUAAGGAAAAUAAAUUGUGCCUUUAAACGAGAAAGCUGUCACGUGACUGGUCAAAGGUUAUGCGUGACUUGGAAGCUGAAGCUUUUUUUUUCAUUCGUGAAAGCUCGCUAUACGUUACUACAUUUGGAUCAAGUGACGCGAAGCCGACGCGUUAACCACUCGUCACGGGCUUACAGUGCGUAAAAAUAUUACAAAAGAUUGGCAGACUUUCACACAAGACCGAUCUAGCGGCGUUCAUAAAUAGAUCGCGUGCCGUGGAAGCUUCCGCGAGUGUUUCACUCUUGCGAUGAAAGCCGAAAGUCUUGUCUAGCCUGGGCGGAGAGGGGGAUGGACCCCUACAGAGCAUAAUUGCAAGAUGGCCGCCGCCAGUAGGCCAUGAGCUUGCGACGAAUUUAUGAAAUUUCUAUGCUCAUGGCUCACCCAAUAAUUUUUGGCCACUAUCAGCAACUCAUUAUGAGUUACAGAAAUAGACGCUGUUAUUUCAUCGUUUAUUUCGACUACAGUUCAAAGCUUGUGGAUAUUUUUACACGAGCCAUGAGGUGUUAUAUAAAAGUCAGGCAAAAACUUGGCAUUAUUAAUGUCCACGGAAUUAUCAGGAGAUCGAUGUAUGUAAAUUGACGUGAAGUAUGACAGCCACGCGUGAAAAUACGAACGCCGUCAUCUUGAUUCUAGAUAAAAAACGUUAAAAGAGCAAGUUCGAAAUGAUAAAUAAUCACGUAAUGGCAGUGUUUAUGAGUCACAAUGAAAAUUGAUUGAAAAAUGAAAUUAAACAAUCUGUAUGUCCAUUGGUUUGCAGAUAAUUGUAGUAAAACGUCAACACCUUUUGAGUAACCAUCAACUCUAAAACAUACAACAUGCGCCAUUUCGACACUUCAAACAUCCCAGGCAUUCAAACUGAUUCUCGUACAUCCACUACGAUGAGUAUAAUCAAAUAUUCUGUUAACACACGUCAAAAAGAUAUGAUAAUCAUGAAUCAUAUAGUGACACUUUUUGAAUAACCAGAAAGAAUCAAAAGUUGUCAAUCCUUUCACAAGAAAAGCUAUAAAACUUAAAGAUAUUGCCUGCUAGAAGUGCCUGAAACAAACACAAAUACCUGCUACCUGUUGGAAAAUAAAGAAAAGUUGUCGUAGACAAUUAUUCUUAUUUUAUGGAUAAUCAUUAUGCAGCAUCUAACUAUCAUCAAAGGCAAUGAGACUAACGAAUCUCCAAGUGUAGUAGUAACUAUGGAUGCGCCAAGACCAAAAGCUAUUAAAGUGCUAAACAGUUGCCGGCUGGCAGAUGCGCAUACGAGCGGUUAUAGCAUGCCGCGUGUCCCUAUAUAUUUUUAGUCAGCAGGGAUGAUAAUACGAAAUUAGAACGGCACGGCCUUUGUAAGAAGAAGCGUCAUUAGUUGUCCGUGCUGAGAGCACGUUGUGAUCCGUCGCUGUCCCUGGGAGGCAUUAUUGUUGCCAACGUCGAGAAUAGAUGGAAGACGGGCUUCGUUCGUCUUCGGUAUUCCCAGUUUAUUUGCACGGGUUUUCACCAGUGACGUCACUGGAGAACAACUGUCGUGUCAAAGCGAGGCCAAAGGUAACGUUUGUGAAGUAGGAGUCAAAGAGUGGUUCACAAACGAGUCCAGAGAGAAACAUCGAGAGACAAAGAUGAUAGACAAAGACACGAAGCAUGCGGUUGACGAGUGAAAACUGGUAUUUGGAUCUUGGAUAGGUUUGAUAACAAUAACCAAGUCGUGGGAAACUGGUUGAGAGAUCACUUAAAUUUUCCAGCAUAACGUCUCGGGACAUUUGGCCCGUUUCCAGCUUGUAGCAGUUGAAUCUUUGCAGCGUGCUGAUGACUCUGGCAAGUAGAAGAAAAAAAGGGAGAAAAGUCAAAAAGAAUAUCCACCAUGAAAGCACUAACGAUGGUGCCUUUAAAGCACACUAUGCAAGAAAGUAUCCGGAAGCUACAAGCAUAUCGCCACAUCCGUCAGCCAUUCAAAGAGCAAAUGUACCAAGCGUAUACACUAAUGACUCCAGCAAUAAAUCUCACAGUGCUUUGGUUGGCCAUCAGUCGCGCGGCAUCGGUUUCAAACUAAAAGAUAUUCGCCAUGAAUGAAGGAAAGUCAAAUAAAAGGAAGUAAAAAGUUUGAAAAUAAUAAACAGUCGUCAUCAAAGGAAACGAACUAAGGCUCAUGGAGUGAUAUGAGAUCACAUACAUACAUAACACAUAACAUAAUAAACGCAGAGACGUAUGAAACGGUUGAAUAAUUUUUGGCAUACAAUAUGGCGAAUGUAAAAUGUCCAAUCUCAAAUCUUGGAUCUCGCGUAGAGCGGUUAGAGUCGGUCGAAACGGAUUCUCAAUUUUAUUUAUCAUAGACGGGAGGUAAGACCCGGGCCCGGGCAUACCUGAAUCUAUUCUUCAACCAGUCUAACGCUUGGAUUCUCAAGUAAAAAUAAAAGUCUGAUAAUUAAAUGAAAUCCACGAAUAUAUCCAAUGAUCACAAAGUGUUCAGGCAUCGAGUUGAGUUGAUCUAUAAAAACUUAAAACACUGGCACAGCAAGUGUUGCCUCUUAGCCCUCGCCAAGGAAUCAUGUACCUGAAUUUUAUUUGGAUUUUAAAUAAUCUGCAAAUUUAGACCAAUGUGUAUAAGCAGUCCUUGUUAGCUGCAUUAAGAAACUAAUUCGCAAGUAAGCUGAGUAAUUUGCGAUGUGCUUUAGUCUUACAUUAGAGAGCCGAUCUAGCGACCUCACUAAAAAUACUUGGGUCCAAUCAACGGCCAACUGGGCCAGUGAAGUAAUCAUGGCUCAACGUCCCAAAUAUAGUCUAACGUCUGCAUAACGAACUACGAUACUUGGCAUGACAAGAAGAGCCAGCAUAAUAGCGUCUGUCACCACGAAUCCCCAAUGACAUACCAGUUCGAGCAUUAGGGAUGGUUUGCUAUAUUUGGGACGACAUAUCGUCCGAUCCGUGAAGUUUAAUUGGCGGACAAUUAUAAUUUCUAGAGGAUUAUCCUCGUCCUCGUAUUCUUCUUCCUGGUGAAUACCCAGAAUGCAUAACCAGUGAAGUAAACCAAGAGCGAGUACAGUGAGCGAUGCCGACGAUCUCAAUUAACCUUUGGAGGACCGGAAAACCUCGAAGUCCAUAUACGAUACGCGAAUAAGCCACUGGAAAAAAAUAAUCCUAUAAUAAUUUUUAUAAAAUUAUAAGAAAUGACUGGUCCGACCACUGAACGUAAAUUUUGAAUUUAAUAUUCGCCAAAAAUUUUCGUAUGCUUGAAAAUCAUUUGGCAGAAUCGAGGGACAAAGUUUUCGUUCAGAAAAUUCGCAUCAGUCAUGUCGAAACGUUGCGCGAAAAUAGUCGCAAGGAUGCUGCGAGGUCGAAUUUUGUCGUGAUCCGCAACUGAUGACGAGAUAUUUGGCGAAGUAGAUGAUUUUUUAUUGAAUUUUAAUUUAUUCUUUUAAUUCGAUUAUUCUGGCACCCUCGACCCUCGCUUUGAUUCCAUCGUCCUGCUGUUUCUAAGCUAUGCACAAUAUUAGGGAUGUCGAGACUUUGAGGAUCUACAGAUGAAGAAGCAAUAAAUAAAAAAUAUGACGGGCAUCUUAAAGACAGGCGAGAUAGUCCUUUUCCAUUAUUUUUCAUUUUGUCAGGGCGUCGACGUCGCUACUCACAAGUUCUCUAUCUGACGUUCUUAAUUAUGUAAUGGUUGUGUUUUAAUAAGAAACUUCACGUGGAUGGUCCGUGCCAAGGAUAUACCUAUAGCCGUCGAAAAGGUACAGAAAUAGAGACAUUGUUGUAGUUUCUAGUGGGCACUACCUAGAGAAAUCCUCGAAAGCAACGACCUAGAGAAAUAUAGGGCAUAGGUCCGAUCUUAACAAAUAAA